GACGAACGCUGGCGGCGUGCUUAACACAUGCAAGUCGAACGAUGACGACCGAGCUUGCUCGGUCUGAUUAGUGGCGAACGGGUGAGUAACACGUGAGCAACCUGCCCUUCACUCUGGGAUAACCUCGGGAAAUCGGGGCUAAUACCGGAUAUGAGCUCCUGUCGCAUGGCGGGUGUUGGAAAGUUUUUCGGUGAAGGAUUGGCUCGCGGCCUAUCAGUUUGUUGGUGAGGUAGUGGCUCACCAAGGCGAUGACGGGUAGCCGGCCUGAGAGGGCGACCGGCCACACUGGGACUGAGACACGGCCCAGACUCCUACGGGAGGCAGCAGUGGGGAAUAUUGCACAAUGGGCGAAAGCCUGAUGCAGCGACGCCGCGUGAGGGAUGACGGCCUUCGGGUUGUAAACCUCUUUCAGCAGGGAAGAAGCGAAAGUGACGGUACCUGCAGAAGAAGCGCCGGCUAACUACGUG
rnacentral:rRNA from 1 species